CUUUCACUCAUUCUGGCGCUCCUAUGGAUGAGUGGCGCUCUUAGCAUUUGCCUAUACCGCCUAUGCCGCGGGCCGGCCCUGUGACAAUGUACUGUUAUUUUCCUCACAAACAAAAUUUGCACUACAGAAAGCAGAUUUAAUGCUUACAAUGUUAUUUGUUUGGCAUGUGAUAGGGAAAAAAAUGUACACACAAUAAGCCACUUUGAAACUAUCCUGUUAUUUUUAUUUUAUUUUAAAACACAUAAUUCAUAUAAUAUAAAUAAUACUGCACACCUUUUAAAUGUAUCAAAUCUAAAAUAUUGUUUAAUAACAUGUAGCUUAGAGAAAAUAUAAGCACAGGCUUGACAUUUAUCCUGCUUGAAUUCGUUCUAAGAAAUGCACAACUUCAUAAGUACCAAACUUUCAUCUCUGAAUAUUUACAUAUUAAAUAUAUUUAAUAUUUUAAAUAUUUUAACUAUAGUGUUUUUCUUUCAUUUUCUGUGACUGAAGCCGUCAAUUGUAACACAUCAGCGAGGCAAAACUGAUGUCUAUUUGCGAAAAUGUACUUUUAUGCACUUGUUUGAUAACUUGUGGUUAAAGCGCCACACAUGCAGUGGUAAAAGUGGCGUUUUCGAUGUCUACCUACUAGGGCUGUCACUUUUGUGAAAAAAAUCAUUUUAGAUUUUUAAGACAUAAGUGUUCAUUGAAUCGAUUGUAAAAUCCAUUUUCCAUGUCUAAAAAAAGACUUUUCUUUUUCAAACGUCAAAUAACGGACGAAUGUAAAGAGAGUGCUGGAAACGCACAAGUCAGCAAUAUUUCUUAUUUAUUUGCAUGAAGUUUCUAGCAGAAUAACAAACAGCAACAGGAGUGCAACAUUCUCGAAAUAAUAUAUAUGCAGAGGGGACGGCUAGGGCUGUAGUACUCGAGUCCGGUCUUGGACUUGUAGCAACAAUGAGUUUUACAGAAUAAUUAACUCAAAUGAUAUAUAGGGAAUUUGAAUAAUUAAUCAGGAAUAUGAUUAAUUUAUAUCUCAGAUGACAGUUACAUUAAAUUUGAUUGAUUAUGAAAAAUAGCUCAAUUGCCUAUACCAAUAAAUAAUCACAGGGCACUGUAACUUACUCAUUAAUAUGUCAAUAUUCCAUUCUUCAUACCAAUUAUUGUGAUAUCUCUUACUGUAAAUUACUGCAAAUCAAACAGUGGUAUGUCCAGCAAACCACUGUUGACCUAUCAAUUUUCAAUAAAGUUAUCACGCCUUAUAAUUCAAGGAAAAGUAUUCUCUGGCCAUGAAAAUAUUAUCCUAUCCUUAUGAUAAAUUUAGUUUCUAAAUUUAGAGCUUGUAGCUAUAGAUCAGACAUCUCAGUGACUCGUAAUGUAAGUGGGGUGGAGUCCAAGCCAAUCGUCAGUAUAUGGGUUUUUAAUAAUUAAACUAGUAAUACAUCAAACUACAAAUCACACAGAGUAAAUAUGCGUAUGACAAUACAAACAGUAAGCUUUAUGCAAGACAUAACGGAAUCCAAAUAAAAGAGAGAGAGAGAGAGAGAGAAAAUAGAAUGAGAUCACAUAAGGAGCUCAGGUAUGGAAAUCAUAGUCAGUAACUUUUGGAAGCCAACAACGAUCAGAUCAUAACAACACUUUAAAGCAGCAUUUAAAUCUCCAUAGAGAAAGUGAUACUUGCAAAGUGUCCAAUGUGAGCGUGGCGUGAGAUCGGCGUCGAGCUUGUGAGCUUUGCGCGCUGUUCCUUUUGAAAACAGCGGGCGUGUGCCGGAGGCCAGGUGACGCGCGUACACGCUGCGCUUGAUCUUGGCGUGAGCGUGGAGCACGUGGUCCUUUGUUCUGUCCUCGCGCGGUAUUUGAAAGGUUCAACAAACAAUGUUCCAGAAUUCGUCUUCCUUGCGUGGAGAGGCGAAUAGUUGAAUAAACUUAGUAAAGAAAAGAAAAGAAAAGAACGAAAGCUUCCAAAGGAGCCAUUAAAAUGGCUUUUUCUCUCAGCCCCUGUGCUAAGGGGGUUUGCGCUAUGAGCAACGUUGGUCGCACAGGAGAGCAGCGUGUCCGAGCAGGAGAAGAAGAGAGCGGGCGGACCUUGUUCGGUCGUUCUUAUGGCUUGAAAUGGUUUACGCCCCUUUUUCGCGUAAACAGCCAAUGAAAGUCCGCGAUCUGAAGCGGAUGGAAAAGUUCCUUUGUCUCUGUGGAGACAACCCCCCUGGAGAUCUAGGGCUUGUCCAAAUUCCAGGGAUUAUUCUAGCAAGUUUGUAAUUCAGAUUACAUACAUUUUUCAUUACUUUGCUCUAGAUAAAUGGGUCUGUCAGAGCAUGACGAUCACAAAGAUACUAAACAUAAUAUAUAUAUGAUCAAAACAUGAAGUUACAUUCAAAUGCAGAAUUACACAUAUUUAAAGAUUUGAUUAACACAUGAUAACACUGCAGAUAGUCCCAAUUUAUAUGGGAAAUUUCUAAAUGUACCAAAAGGGAAUACGUAAUACAUUUAUAAAACAUAAAAACAGAAAGUUAAUGAAUACAUUCCAUAGAAUGCAUUGUUCAAAAGAAACAAGUGAUUUGGCUUCUCUCCUGUCCUGUGUGUCCAGGGUGGUCGUAAAGUUUUACGACCUGCAGGGGUGGGGGUUGCAGAAACGUAGCUCUCUUUGAGGAAGUUAAAAUGAGGAGAGACAUUUCCUAAAGUAUAAGCUAGCAACUUAUACUCUUCACAUAACAAGGAUUAACCAUUUUAUGCAAUCCAUAAACAUAUUUAAAAUACAUAUUAAUAAGGACUUACAAAAGUAAGGAACUUUACGAAAGGUUUCUUUUUGUGUAUGUUGGAAUGUGGUUGGUUUAGUGUAUUCUUUGAGGCUCCCCCGGGCAUUGUAAAUUAAUUUAAGUCCAGCCAGGCUGGCGCCAGGCCCAGUGCAAAAAGGGUUUCAUUUGGAAAAUCUGAAUUAAACACAUGAAUCGAUGAUCUGCAUAUCCGUUACAGACUCGAGUCCGGACUCAAGACAUUUUUCUGUCGUCUCGGACUUGUCUCGGACUCGUUGCAUUUGCACUCGGACUUGUCUCGGACUUGGCCAUUGGACUCGCCAAGUCUUCUAUUUGGUGUCGACCGAGUCCAGCAAAAAAACAAAAUAAAAAAAUCUCCUUCAAAACAAAACCAUGAUGUAGCGAAUGAAAACGUGUGGAAAACGCUAGGCGUGCCGCUCUUCUUAUUUCCAAAUGACUGUGGCCUGCGCUCGCGCUCCAGUGGCGUCUGCUGUUGCUGUGCAACCAUGACCCGCUCUUCAUGAUGACACAGAAGUUUCAGCAAAGAAUAAAUGGAUUUCCAGCACUAAACAUCCCUUGUAGUAGCUCUACUAAUAGAUUAAUUUAAAAAAUGGAUAUCCUUGUACAGCUAUGAUCAUCUGUUUCUCCAUCUUAGCUUUCAUUAUUGUUCCGGGAAAGGAUGUGCAUGACCAGCGGUGCACUUACUGCGACCUGAAAAGUUUAGAUGUUUCUAAUUUAAUUUCUACCUGUUAGAUUGUGUUUUAUUUACGUCUACACCUAGAUAGCUUUAAACGUACCCUUUACAAUAAUGAAAUACUAAUUAUUGUUGUACAGUAUAGGGUUUGCAAGACUACUGAUUUCUACUAGUCGAUUUUUUAAUAAAAAAAUGCUUGAGUUACUCGACUACUCGUGGUUCAUGCUAUUGUAAAUGAAAACACAUUAAAUAGUUUUUUUUUUUAUCAAUAAACGGUUAUUAAUGUAUAGCCUUAUGCAACAAUUACAUAUGUAAAUUUUAAAAACUUUAUAAUUAUGCCAUUACGUAUUUAAAAUUUCAUGUAGGCCUAACAGUCAGUAUUUCUAUGUGUAACAAUCACAACAUUUUUCCUAUCUGCAUUCGGAUACAACAUUGUACAGUUACUUGAUAAGACCGUUAUGAACAAGUAUGUCGUGUUAAACUAAAAUAAUUAUUAAUUUCUAAAAUAAUAUUUAUCAUGCAAGCAGAGAGAUGUCAUGACAAACGUUUAGUGAUCAUUUGAACGACCAAAUACAUUCAAUGCGCACAUUUACAUUACGCAGAACACUUUAAGCGAGUCUUUUUUAUAGGUUAAAUUACUCUUGCAACGCUCUGAUUUCUGAGAGAUGCACAGAGAGGCGACAACAAUGCGGUGUUUGAUUUGCGCUCUUUUCGCUCAUAAAGUUUACAUUCAUUCACUUCUGGCGCUGAUCCCCUGGCUCACCUGUUAUCUAGCAAACACCAGACUGUGUCAGCUUCAGCCGAGUUAUUCCUUGUACGUUAUUCGUUUUUUAAGCCGUUAUCCUUGCCAUUCCGAAUAAGGUAUUCAGCUUCAGGCACAACCCUAAUUAUUACAUUACAUAUUUUAUUUUUACAUGCAACAUAGAUAAGGUCAUAGUAACAGCUCCACGCAAUAUUUUAAUUCUAAAAUUCACGUCGUACUUGCAAACACUUUGUAUGCAUUAUGGUUAAUGCAUGCUGGAUGAGUUGAUUGUUUCCUACAGUGCCGAGUAGUCUAUGCAAGCACUAGGACAAAAAUUUAGCUUUAUUUAUGUGCGCAUGCCCAGUAGAGCCAAAUGUAUCCUUCUAGCCUUGCUGCGCGCAUGCGUCAUAUCCCGAACUUUGUGUGUGUCUGUGCACUGUGCCAAGGCAUCAGUCAUUUUGGACCACAGACAUAAUGUCAGCAAAAGCAGCAUUAUUAACUAAAUAAAAUGAAAAUAAAGUACAUCAAAAUAAUUUGACCUUAAAGCUCCAAACUCUAGAGGGCCAGUGUCCUUUAUAGUUUAGCUCCCAGGGUCGGACUGGGGGUAAAAUCAGUACUCAUUACCAGGGCCCCAGAGGAAGAGAGGGCCCUUGAAAAGUAUGAAUCUGAAAUAUAUAUAUUUUUUUACCUGGAUAUUUUCAUGGGUGGGGGGCAUGGGGGCCUAUCAGGACUGCCUAUGCAUAGGGCCUGGGAUCUUGUGUAACACCCCUAUUAGCUUUAACUCUAAUUAUACAUACUUGAACCAGCUAAUCAAGCUCUUACUAGACACACUAGAAUCUUCCAGGUGUGUUAAGGCAAGUUGGAGCUAAACUUUUCAGGACAUUGGCCAUCCAGGAUGUAGUUUGGAGACCCCUGUCCUACAGAGUUGUUACUUUGCACAAGCUUUUUGAUCAUUACAAAUAAAAAUUUACAAUUAUUUUCUUAGAACAGGAGAUAUGCUGCCUCUCGCAACACAUACAUUAUCAGUAGUUAAGUAUGUGGUCUUGAAGAGGACCCUUUUUUCUCUCAUUUGGACUCGGUCUUGACUUGGACUCGAAACUUUUGGACUUGGACUCGACUUGGACUCGAACCUCUUUGGACUCGGUCUUGACUCGGUCUCGACUCGGUCUCGACUAGUCCUGGACUUGGACUUGACUUGGACUCGACAAAGCUGGACUUGACUACAGCUCUAGGGACGGCUGUCAUAACAAAAGAAAAACAUCACUGCAGGCUUCAACCCGGCUGCAUUUAUGAUUUAGGCCUUUCAAAAAUCUCCAAGAUUAUUUUAAAUAAUGAUUCAAUCCAUUUCAAACAACUGUUCAAAAAAUCUAACUUUAAAUGGGCUUGAGAACAGGCCAUGUGUGUUUUUUUUUUUUAUUGAACGUAACCGACACUUAGGCUAGGCGGCACUAGGCAGGCAUGAAACGCGCAAAAAGGCUAGGGACAUUACAAAUUUAUUGGACAGGAAAACAAGUCGAUCAACAUUUUCGGGGUCCACAGCAAAGCAUUUUUUAUUCACUACAUGUCCAGCUGUUGAGAAGACGCGCUCCGACUGCACUGAUGUUCCAGGGACACUCAGGUACAGCAGCGCAAGGUGGGGGUAUUACUGCCAAUUUUCCACCACAAAAGUGGGGUCACUCUCAGCUUGCAAUGGUCCUUUUCUAACUCAGAAUCUCCUGUAACUAGAUGCACGAAUGAGGCGAAUCCGCGUCUACCGCACCGCGAGACUUCAACACGCGCGUAAACGAGUCUUUACAUUGACUCAUCAUUGAAAUUAUUUGCGCCGGAUGCUCUAUUCGCGUUUGGUGUGAACGCAGCAUAAGAGGAGGCUUUCGAUGUCACUGGGUCUUAUAGAAAGAAUGUGCUGUUUGCUGAUGAGUCAGAUGACUCUGUGUUGAAGGUGAUUGAUUUUGGAUUUGCGCGGUUGUUUCCAGCGGGGAGUGGCAGUGCAUCUCUGCAGACCCCCUGCUUUACCCUGCAGUAUGCUGCGCCGGAGCUCUUCCACAGCUCGGGAUAUGACCAGGCCUGCGAUCUCUGGAGCCUUGGGGUGAUCCUGUACACCAUGCUGUCUGGCCAAGUUCCAUUCCAGAGUGAGAAGAAAGGAAUGACAUCAUCGCAUGCAGCUGACAUCAUGCACAAGAUCAAGGAGGGUGAUUUCUCAUUGGAUGGAGAAGCCUGGAAGGGUGUGUCUGAAGAGGCCAAAGAUUUAGUGAGAGGUUUGUUAACCGUAGAUCCUGAGCGACGGCUGAAGCUCUCGGCUCUGAAAGAGAAUGCCUGGCUUCAGGGAGGUGGCGUCAUGUCCUCCACCCCUCUCUGCACCCCUGAUGUUCUGGAGUCCACCGGCCCGACUGUCCGUACCUAUGUCAAUGCCACCUACAAGGUCAAGUAUCUGCAUUUUAUACCUAUAUUCAGUUGUGAUGCAUCCAAGUAAAAUCCUUGCAAGCACAUAUGAAAUAAAACUACAGAAAUUAUUUAUUACAUUCUAAAAAUACCAGAUGGAAUUACAAAAAUAAUGACUUUUUUUUUUUUUUUUUUUUUUUUGAUUGCUUAUGUUGGUUAAUCCUUUCAUUCCCCAACAUGUUAGAUAAUAUUAUCUGGAAUAAAAUAUAAAAUGCACUGAUGACAAAAGAUUCACACGGAUAUUCACAUUAAAAGAUCAAUACAUUCUGUCACAAUGUUAAAACAUUUAAUUCAAAGCAAAAUAUAUUAUAUAUCAUAUAUAUCAUGUAUGUAUAUAUGAUGCGAUGUAGAAAAACCCGUCGGAUGACGUGCUGGUACGAUUUCAGGAAAUGAAAUUUCAGGAAUAAAAUGUCAUUUUUUUGUCAAAAUAAGUGUCUCAUUCAAUUAUUAUUCUAUAACAUCUUGUGAAGCAUCUCUGAAAAUAUCUUGGCAAAUUUCACUUGUUUAGUGUAGAAAAAAAAAACGAUUUAUUGCUGCAAGCAGAAAUACUUUCUCUAAUGUUUAGAGCGCUGCGGAGGUGCAUCCUCUUAACACCACAAAAACACAGGGUUCCUAUGGGGUUUGGAAAAGUAUGGAAUUUGAUUUGAGUAUUUUCCAGGUCUGGAAAAGUAUGGAAAAAAUAAAUCAGAGUAUGGAAAAAUAUUUAUGUUUCCAGACUAUUGUCCCUAUUUCGUUUUCUAAAUAUAAAAUUAAGAAUUUCUAAAUGUAUAUAAUAAAUAUAUAAUAUAUACAAUCGUUUUUUUUUUAAUGCCAUUUGGAUCAAUCUGCCAGCACUGCCGAUCGUUUUUGCACUUGAUCUGCUGGAGUCUAGGUCUGCAGUGAUUGGCUGUUACGUUGUUAGGCGGCAGUUGCCAUCACAGCGCCCCUACCUCAAACUACUUGACUAAAAACACCUGGAACCUUGUCCUUGAUUUUUACAUUUGAGUGUGGACUUCACGGCAAACAAAAUGGGAAAAUGCAAGUUUUCAGAGGGCUGGCUUGCCAAUCCUAAAUAUAAAGCCUGGUUAGCCAAAGACUUAAAAUUUACAAAGAAAGCUAUUUGCAAACUUUGUGUCAAAUCAUUUGUCAUCUACAACAUGGGGGAGGCAGCAAUUGUAAGCCAUAUGCUAGGCCGAAAGCAUCUUCGUCUCAUCACAGCAUCCACCACACAAAGUCUCACAGCGUUUAUGGUCCAGACCAAGGUGGGACCAAGACCGACCACAUCAAGUCACAAAGCCCAUAAUGUACCGAUUGAUCAAAGGUGAGCAUUUGAACUAUAGUCAGUCUAAUGUUAUCCUUUAAUUAACGUAUUACUUAACGUUAGCAGGAAGUCUAGAAAGCUGACGUCAGCUUAUCAGUUCAUUAACAUUACCACACCAAGAUAAUUAUGUGAAUAUAGUGUUGGUGAGAAGAUAAAGGCCAUUUCUAGAGGGAAUAUGGAGUAUUUGGAGCUGCAGCAGUAGUCACAUUGGUCAAUUUAUUAUCAGGUGCGUUCAGAGAGAACAAUUGCGUGACGCGGCGUGAGAGUUGUUUCUCUUUAACGUCACUGUUAGGCCUAUAUUUGAUAUUUUCUAGUGUAUCAGUGUAACAAAUUAAAGUUGUGUAUUUUCAUUUCGCAAAAUGUCGAUAUUUACUAGAGUAGGAUAUCCAAUCUGGGCCGUUGAAUGAGCACGUGCAUCCGCAUCACACAAUCAAAUAAGCAAAAUAUCGAGGGAGCACGCAAUCAUUAAGAUUAGAUUGUGUUUUGUUGUUAAGUGAUCUUUUAUGACUAGGGAAUUAAUUCAAUAACUGUUGUGCGUAUAACGUUAUUCCUAUUACACAAGUUUGUCUUUUUCACAAAAUAAGUUGUAUUUUGACCUUCGUUAAAUGAACGAGUGCACGCAUCCGCGUCACUCAAACCAGCAACAGAUAAGGGAGCGCAUCACGUGAUCAUUUAAAUUCAACUUCAAAGAUUAUGGUGAAUAUGGUGAAUAAAGGUGAAUAUAUAUUCAGGUUAUAAAGCGUUUAAGGUUUCUUAUCAUUCAAGCAUGUUGUCAGUUUGAGAGAACUAAUGCAUGUUGUAAACGUGAGUGGAUCUGUAGAAAGAAUAAAUAUUUACAGGUGACUGUAUGAUAGUAAACUAUUAAAUCUAACGUCAAUGCUGAAAAAAAAAUGAUAUAAUAUGGUUGAAUGAAUAGGGUUUUAUCAUCAGGUUUUCUUCCAGAAUGGUCCUGUAUUUGGCUCCAUCCAUCUUCCCAUCAAUUUUAACCAUCUUCCCUGUCCCUGCUGAAGAAAAGCAGGCCCAAACAUGAUGCUGCCACCACCAUGUUUGACAGUGGGGAUGGUGUGUUCAGGGUGAUGAGCUGUGUUGUUUUUACGCCAAACAUAACAUUUUGCAUUGUUGCCAAAAGGUUUGAUUUUGGUUUCAUCUGACCAGAGCACCUUCUUCCACAUGUUUGGUGUAUCUCCCAGGUGGUUUUCGGCAAACUUUAAACGACACUUUUUAUAGAUAUCUUUAAGAAAUGGCUUUCUUCUUGCCACUCUUACAUAAAGGCCAGAUUUGUGCAGUAUACGACUGAUUGUUGUCCUAUGGACAGAGUCUCCCACCUCAGCUGUAAAUCUCUGCAGUUCAUCCAGAGUGAUCAUGGGCCUCUUGGCUGCAUCUCUGAUCAGUCUUCUCCUUGUAUGAGCUGAAAGGUUAGAGGGACGGCCAGGUCUUGGUAGAUUUGCAGUGGUCUGAUACUCCCAUUUCAAUAUUAUCGCUUGCACAGUGCUCCUUAGGAUGUUUAAAGCUUGGGAAAUCUUUUUUAUCCAAAUCCGGCUUUAAACUUCUCCACAACAGUAUCGCGGACCUGCCUGGUGUGUUCCUUGUUCUUCAUGAUGUUCUCUGCACUACAAACGGACCUCUAAGACUAUCACAGUGCAGGUGCAUUUAUACGGAGACUUGAUUACACAUAGGUGGAUUCUAUUUAUCAUCAUUAGUCAUUUAGGUCAACAUUGGAUCAUUCAGAGAUCCUCACUGAACUUCUGGAGAGAGUUUGCUGCACUGAAAGUAAAGGGGCUAAAUAAUUUUGCACACCCAAUCUUUCAGUUUUUUAUUUGUUAAAAAAGUUUGAAAUAUCCAGUAAAUUUUGUCCCACUUCAUGAUUGUGUCCCACUUGUUGUGGAUUCUUCACAAAAAAUUACAGUUUCAUAUCUUUAUGUUUGAAGCCUGAAAUGUGUAAAAAGGUCGCAAAGCUCAAGGGGGCCGAAUACUUUCGCAAGGCACUGUACUUGUUAGCAGUUGAAUUUUAAAACAAUUUAUCAGAACAAGUCAAAUAUGGUCGGAAAAAUCUGUAGGGAAGUCUGGAAAUUUGAGUCUGGAAAAGUAUGGAAUUUUGAAAUGUAAAUUGUGUAGGAACCCUGAAAACAGUUAACCUAUCAAAAUAAACCACGUAACAUAUAUAAUAAAUGUGUAUCAAUGCAUAUUUCCUGCCAGUCCUGUGUAAAACUAUGGCACGCAAUGUUUUUUACAUUUGUUUAUUAAUAAAGCAGGGUUUCCGCGGGGCCAUGAAAAGUCAUAAAUUUAACAAUAAGAAUUUAAGGCCAUAAGUCAUAAAAACGUCAGGAUUUUCCAUACAAGGUCAUAAAAAAACAUUUAGUCACAUCUUAAAUUGAUAUGCUAGUCCAUUCAUUUGUUGUUCCAUCAUAUUUGCGCUCGCAGCGGCGAUGGCAUUCAUUUGUUUUGCCUGUUGUAGUUCUGUAUGAGGAAUCUGGGUGGUAUCACACUGGUAUCACAGCGUUCCAGAACUACAAGGUCCAUGCGGCAGCAAACAGACUUGUCAGAAGGACUUUCACAGAGACCCGAGCGAAC